AUUGAACGCUGGCGGCAUGCCUUACACAUGCAAGUCGAACGGUAACAGGUUAAGCUGACGAGUGGCGAACGGGUGAGUAAUAUAUCGGAACGUGCCCAGUCGUGGGGGAUAACGUAGCGAAAGCUACGCUAAUACCGCAUACGAUCUACGGAUGAAAGCGGGGGAUCGCGAGACCUCGCGCGAUUGGAGCGGCCGAUAUCAGAUUAGGUUGUUGGUGAGGUAAAAGCUCACCAAGCCUGCGAUCUGUAGCUGGUCUGAGAGGACUACCAGCCACACUGGAACUGAGACACGGUCCAGACUCCUACGGGAGGCAGCAGUGGGGAAUUUUGGACAAUGGACGCAAGUCUGAUCCAGCAAUGCCGCGUGCAGGACGAAGGCCUUCGGGUUGUAAACUGCUUUUGUACGGAACGAAACGGUGAGCUCUAAUACAGUUUGCUAAUGACGGUACCGUAAGAAUAAGCACCGGCUAACUACGUGCCAGCAGCCGCGGUAA
rnacentral:rRNA from 1 species